ACCACCGAAAUAACGAAACCCAAAAUCAAACAACGAAAAAUAAAGAAGAGGAAAAAAAUGAAAAUAUUCGUUACUAUUAUAUAUGUAGUAUAGAAAGACAGCUAUUAUAGCAAUUAGAGCAACAAACACUAGGUAAAAAAUGAAUGAGGAAUGAACAAUGGAAAUGCUUCGAAAAAAUAACACGACCAGAGAAAUUCUUGCACGUUUCAAAGUAUCAAGUGAAUUGAAAGUCUUGCGAGAAAAUGUAAAAAAGCAGCUGGAGCUUUUAGAGAUGAUGGUAGUAGGUAGGUUUGAAUUUUGAUUUAUUUAUUUUUUUUUUGGGAAAAUAUUUUGUAAAAAAUAAACCGCAACAACAAGAAAUCGAAAAAGGGAAAAAAUAAAACUACCACUCAGAUCCUUUUAGGUAUAAAACCUUGAUUCGACAAAAGGAAAGAACAUUUCGUUUAUAAAUACCUGAAAUCGGUGUCUGCCAUAUUCUGUACUCUAGAUAUUGGGUUGUAGGAGUGCUACUAGUUAUCAGGUUAUCUAGGGACAGGUGGUAACAAGCGAGGCGACAAUUUAUUUCAAUGGCAAAAAUAACAUACUACGGUGGAAAGCGAGGACAAACUAGCAAACAAUCACUCAUUAAACUGCUCACUGAUAUGAUCUUGGUAAGAGGAGUAAGGCAAAUCUAGGAAAACGAAGAAAAGAUCAUCAGAAUCGUCAUUGAACGGAAAGGAAAAGAGUGUUAAGGUAAGAGAAACUAGUAAGGAUGGAUAGUGUUGGAAAUGAGAGCGAAUCCCUAUCUAACAGCAAAUUGAUUAAGCAGGGCAGGCAAAAGAUGUCGAGAUAAAAAAACGGAAAGAGAGAGAGAAAAAGUGUGUUUGCUGUAGUUGAUGAAAAUUUGUAAUUGAUUUUUUUUUACUUUGAAAAAUGAUAUGACCUUCAAUACUUUUGAUGCUUUAUGAUGGAAAUAGUGGAAUGAACAUGUUCGAUUGAUUAUGUCUUUCGCUUUUUCAUUUUAUAUUUUUCGCUACUGUAUUAUUGCUAAUUUUUAUUUCAUUCAUAUUGG